UACCAGACUCCUACGGGAGGCAGCAGUGGGGGAUAUUGCACAAUGGGGGAAACCCUGAUGCAGCGACGCCGCGUGAGUGAAGAAGUAUUUCGGUAUGUAAAGCUCUAUCAGCAGGGAAGAAAAUGACAGUACCUGACCAAGAAGCCCCGGCUAACUACGUGCCAGCAGCCGCGGUAAUACGUAGGGGGCAAGCGUUAUCCGGAUUUACUGGGUGUAAAGGGGGCGCAGACGGCAGCGCAAGCCAGGAGUGAAAGCCCGGGGCCCAACCCCGGGACUGCUCUUGGAACUGCGCGGCUGGAGUGCAGGAGGGGCAGGCGGAAUUCCUGGUGUAGCGGUGAAAUGCGUAGAUAUCAGGAGGAACACCGGUGGCGAAGGCGGCCUGCUGGACUGCGACUGACGUUGAGGCCCGAAAGCGUGGGGAGCAAACAGGAUUAGAUACCCCUGUAC
rnacentral:rRNA from 1 species